rnacentral:rRNA from 1 species
UACGUAGGUGGCAAGCGUUAUCCGGAAUUAUUGGGCGUAAAGAGCGCGCAGGUGGUUGAUUAAGUCUGAUGUGAAAGCCCACGGCUUAACCGUGGAGGGUCAUUGGAAACUGGUCGACUUGAGUGCAGAAGAGGGAAGUGGAAUUCCAUGUGUAGCGGUGAAAUGCGUAGAGAUAUGGAGGAACACCAGUGGCGAAGGCGGCUUCCUGGUCUGUAACUGACACUGAGGCGCGAAAGCGUGGGGAGCAAACAGG